CCCUAGGAUGCUAGAACCACUCUUUUCACUUGCUUUAAGCUAUGGUGGAACACCAUGAGAUAAAACAGGCCCUAGCCCAGGGUAUAAUUAGUCGUGUCCGGCACAUCCUCCUGGGCAGGGAGAUAAACUGCAGCCUCUGCCAGCUGGGGCAGUGCCAGUACCAUGAAUUAGCACAGCAUGCUCCAGAAGCUUCUCUUUCUGCACCAGCAUAGCCCAGCGUAUUCCCAAAAGGGCACAGGAGGUGAGUAAGCAAGUGGUGAAAGUACAGCAAUUGUGAGCCACACAGGCAUUUUCCUGGAAAAGCAUCCUCUCCAAGCCUCUUCUGAGAUGUGUUAUUAAAGUAUUCUCUACUGAAAGCUAGGAGGUUGUGCUUCGGUCACACUUCUAAGUUGUUAUGUAAAGGGAUUCUCUUCUUAACUUAGGAAAAGAAACGUACAUGACUUAAACUAAGACUCUGCUUGGAGGAGAAAUUCUUCCUCUCCUUUCUCUUCCUUACUUUCAUCUCUUGCAUAACUGCACACAACUUAAAGCAGUUGUUGGCUGAACACAAAAAUGUGUCUCUACAUGAGCAAGGAAUAAUGGGGACUAGAAAACAAGGUAUUCACAUCUCUAAUUUGAGUCAAAACAAUUCUAGCUAUUGAAAACAAAAAAGUAGUGAAAAAA
rnacentral:lncRNA from 1 species